UGUGGCACUUGACCCAAGCAAAGUC
rnacentral:misc_RNA from 1 species